UGCGUAGGCGGCGUUAUAAGUCAGAGGUGAAAGGCCACCGCUUAACGGUGGGACUGCCUUUGAUACUGUAGUGCUUGAAUAAGGUUGAGGUUAGCGGAAUGUGACAUGUAGCGGUGAAAUGCAUAGAUAUGUCAUAGAACACCAAUUGCGAAGGCAGCUGGCUAGACCUUUAUUGACGCUGAGGCACGAAAGCGUGGGGAGCGAACAGGAUUAGAUACCCUGGUAGUCC
rnacentral:rRNA from 1 species